rnacentral:tRNA from 1 species
GGGCGUGUGGCGGAAUUGGCAGACGCACUAGAUUUAGGUUCUAGCGCCGCAAGGCGUGUGGGUUCGACUCCCACCUAGCCCACCA